rnacentral:lncRNA from 1 species
AGAUAACAAAUCAGAGCCACCAAUAUUUAACAUUUUACAUGAAGCAAACUUUGUUGUAAUUUAUACCUUCUUGGGUAAAUGAAAAUUGUAAGGCAUUACAUCUCCAAUAUUUUCUUUCUUACAUUUUUUUUAUAAGUAAAACAGAUCAAACUACAAAAUUGUCAAACAAAAAUUAGAACUACUGAAAAAAGGGAUCAACUCUGUUUUAAUCCUCCAUUUGAUACAUAAACUUAACAAGUACAAAAGAAAAUAAGAAACCAAAGAGCAGAUUUUGCUUUGCACACAUUUACAUGAAGCACAAUUAGGGGGAAAUAUUUAUAACGCUAAAAUUUGAAGUAAUAAAAAUUUGUAAAGCAUAAAAUGAAAGAUAUUUGGUUGUUCUAGAUUUUCUAAAGAAACCAAACAGAACAUAUACU